rnacentral:rRNA from 1 species
UACAGAGGUCUCAAGCGUUGUUCGGAUUCAUUGGGCGUAAAGGGUGCGUAGGUGGCGGGGUAAGUCAGGUGUGAAAAUCUCGAGCUCAACUCCGAAACUGCACUUGAUACUGCCUUGCUCGAGUACUGGAGAGGAGAUUGGAAUUUACGGUGUAGCAGUGAAAUGCGUAGAUAUCGUAAGGAAGACCAGUGCGAAGGCGAAUCUCUGGACAGUUACUGACACUGAGGCACGAAGGCCAGGGGAGCAAACGG